rnacentral:rRNA from 1 species
CCUCCUUUCUUCCUCCUUUUUUCCUCUUUCCCCCUUUUGUCCCCCCUGCUGCCGCGACGCCGCGUGAGUGAAGAAGCGUUUCGGCGCGUAAAGCUCUGUCAGCGGGGAAGAAACACGGUUCGCGAGAGCCGCGGACGGUACCCGACCAAGAAGCACCGGCUAACUACGUGCCAGCAGCCGCGGUAAUACGUAGGGGGCAAGCGUUAUCCGGAUUCACUGGGUGUAAAGGGAGCGUAGACGGCGAGACAAGUCUGGAGUGAAAGGCCGGGGCCCAACCCCGGAACUGCUCUGGAAAUUGCCUGGCUAGAGUACAGGAGAGGUGAGUAGAAUUCCUAGUGUAGCGGUGAAAUGCGUAGAGAUUAGGAGGAAUACCAGUGGCGAAGGCGGCUUACUGGACUGUAACUGACGUUGAGGCUCGAAAGCGUGGGGAGCAAACAGGAUUAGAUACCCCUGUAGUC